UACGAAGGGGGCUAGCGUUGUUCGGAAUUACUGGGCGUAAAGCGCACGUAGGCGGACUAUUAAGUCAGGGGUGAAAUCCCGGGGCUCAACCCCGGAACUGCCUUUGAUACUGGUAGUCUCGAGUCCGGAAGAGGUGAGUGGAAUUCCGAGUGUAGAGGUGAAAUUCGUAGAUAUUCGGAGGAACACCAGUGGCGAAGGCGACUUCCUGGACACAUAUUGACGCUGAGGUGCGAAAGCGUGGGGAGCAAACAGG
rnacentral:rRNA from 1 species